rnacentral:piRNA from 1 species
UAUCCGUGAUGGUUUCGUGCUGCUCAAC